rnacentral:rRNA from 1 species
AGGGUGUAAACGCUGCAGACUUGGUGUUGGAGGCCCUUUGGGGGCAUUCAGUGCCGGAGAGAAGUUGUUAAGUCUGCUACUUGGGGAGUACGUCCGCAAGGAUGAAACUUAAAGGAAUUGGCGGGGGAGCACCGCAACGGGAGGAGCGUGCGGUUUAAUUGGAUUCAACACCGUAAACUCACCAGGGAAGACUGUUACAUGAAGGCCGAGAUGAAGACUCUGCUAGAUUUUUCAGAGAGGAGGUGCAUGGCGUCAGUGACU